rnacentral:rRNA from 1 species
GACGAACGCUGGCGGCGUGCUUAACACAUGCAAGUCGAACGGAAAGGCCCUGCUUUUGUGGGGUGCUCGAGUGGCGAACGGGUGAGUAACACGUGAGUAACCUGCCCUUGACUUUGGGAUAACUUCAGGAAACUGGGGCUAAUACCGGAUAGGAGCUCCUGCUGCAUGGUGGGGGUUGGAAAGUUUCGGCGGUUGGGGAUGGACUCGCGGCUUAUCAGCUUGUUGGUGGGGUAGUGGCUUACCAAGGCUUUGACGGGUAGCCGGCCUGAGAGGGUGACCGGCCACAUUGGGAAUGAGAUACGGCCCAGACUCCUACGGGAGGCAGCAGUGGGGAAUAUUGCACAAUGGGCGGAAGCCUGAUGCAGCAACGCCGCGUGCGGGAUGACGGCCUUCGGGUUGUAAACCGCUUUCGCCUGUGACGAAGCGUGAGUGACGGUAAUGGGUAAAGAAGCACCGGCUAACUACG